UUAUUGUUAGCUGUUUGUCGACUUACACAUGCAAGUCUCAGCAUCCCUGUGAGAACGCCCUUUCACCUCUAUCAGGAUAAGGAGCUGGUAUCAGGCACAGACUAUCUUGCCCACAACACCUAGCUCUGCCACACCCUCAAGGGUACUCAGCAGUGAUUAACAUUGUUUAUGAGCGCCAGCUCGACUCAGUCAGACAAAGUAUAGAGCCGGCUAAUCCGGUGCCAGCCGCCGCGGCUACACCAUUAGGCUCAAGUUUACAAUUAUUCGGCGUUAAGCGUGUUUUAAGUACCCUAAACUAUUAGAAUUAAAAUUUAACCAAGUUGUGACACACUUGUUCAUAAGAAAAACAUAAACGAAAGUUAUUCUAACCAAACCACUUGAAUCCACGACAGCUAGGACACAAACUGGGAUUAGGUACCCCACUAUGCCUAGCCGUAAAAUAUUAACCUACACCUUCCUUCGCCAGGGAAUUACGAGCCCAAGCUUAAAACCCAAAGGACUUGACGGUGUCCCACCCAUCUAGAGGAGCCUGUUCUAUAAUCGAUUCUCCCCGAUUCACCUCACCACUUCUAGCCUCUCAGCCUGUAUACCUCCGUCGUAAGCUUACCAUGUGAACGCACCAUAGUGAGCCCAAAGAUUUCCCAUAAAUACGUCAGGUCAAGGUGCAGCCCACGAUGUGGAAAGUAAUGGGCUACAAUUUCUAUCAUUAGAACAAACGAAAGACUACAUGCAAUUCAGUCAUGAAGGCGGAUUUAGUAGUAAAAAGAAAAUAGAGAGUUCUUUUUAACUAGGCACUGGGACGCGUACACACCGCCCGUCACCCUCUUCGAAUGUAACUUCCCACGGUUUUUAACAAUUCCAUACCCCACAGAAGAGGUAAGUCGUAACACGGUAAGCGUACUGGAAAGUGCGCUUGGAUUAACAAA
rnacentral:ncRNA from 1 species